AACAAAAUAAAUUAACUACAAAAUAAAAUAAAAUAAAAUAAAAUAGCAAGCUCAGGCUAUAAAUAAAACACUAACUCCACUCAAAAACACUGCUCACAAUAAAGAAGCGCUACCCAAAAACCCUAGCAGUCCUGCCACUCCUUGAAACCAGGAGACAGGAUCAAUGUAAAGGUCAACCAAUAAAAAACUGCUCUGGCUCCACCCUGAAAAGGCCCUUAUUAAGUCCCGCUGACUACCAACACCACUGUAAAGUGCCAAAGACUGACUGCUUGAACCCAAGAUUCUCACUGCAAAAAAACCCCUCCACAUCGGAAAAAUUCUCCUACUAAUGAUUAGCCUAUUUCGCCUUCUAGCUCCACUGUGCCUUCUGGACAGCAGGGAAAAAGUACAAGGUAAAGUGCUAGUAACCUCUCCCUUGUCCACUGACAAAUCUACUAUGCCUUUGAAUUUUUUCUAGAAAAAUCAAAACCAUUACAGGGUGAUGUGCUGGUAACCUCUCCUCUGUAAAAUGCUAAACCACGACUGUUU